rnacentral:rRNA from 2 species
GGGAACCUUGCUUCCCGCUGACAACGGCGGACGGGUGAGUAAUGCUUAUGAAUCUGCCCCGUAGUGGGGGAUAACCCGGGGAAACCCGGAUUAUUACCGCAUACAUCCUACGGAAAAAGGCAGGGGAUCUUCGGACCUUGCGCUAUUGGAUGAGCCUAAGUCGGAUUACCUAGUUGGUGGGGUAAAGGCCUACCAAGGCGACCAUCCGUAGCUGGUCUGAGAGGAUGAUCAGCCACAUCGGGACUGAAACACGGCCCGAACUCCUACGGGAGGCAGCAGUGGGGAAUAUUGGACAAUGGGGGCAACCCUGAUCCAGCCAUGCCGCGUGUGUGAAGAAGGCUUUCGGGUUGUAAAGCACUUUCAGUACGGAGGACAACCUUAGGGUUAAUACCCGUGAGGCUUGACGU